rnacentral:tRNA from 1 species
GGGGAUGUAGCGCAGCUGGGAGCGCGCCUGAAUCGCACUCAGGAGGCCGGGGGUUCGAACCCCCCCAUCUCCACCA